rnacentral:rRNA from 1 species
GUGUCAGCAGCCGCGGUAAUACGUAGGGUGCGAGCGUUGUCCGGAAUUACUGGGCGUAAAGAGCUCGUAGGUGGUUUGUCGCGUUGUUCGUGAAAACCGGAGGCUCAACCUCUGGCGUGCGGGCGAUACGGGCAGACUUGAGUACUGCAGGGGAGACUGGAAUUCCUGGUGUAGCGGUGGAAUGCGCAGAUAUCAGGAGGAACACCGGUGGCGAAGGCGGGUCUCUGGGCAGUAACUGACGCUGAGGAGCGAAAGCGUGGGGAGCGAACAGGAUUAGAAACCCCUGUAGUCC